rnacentral:rRNA from 1 species
AGAACGAACGCUGGCGGCGUGGAUAAGACAUGCAAGUCGCACGAGAAAGGGACUUCGGUCCUGAGUACAGUGGCGCACGGGUGAGUAACACGUGAAUAAUCUACCUCCGAGUGGGGAAUAACUGAGAGAAAUCUUAGCUAAUACCGCAUAACACUUACGAGUCAAAGCAGCAAUGCGCUUGGAGAGGAGUUCGCGGCAGAUUAGUUAGUUGGCGGGGUAAUGGCCCACCAAGACGAUGAUCUGUA